rnacentral:rRNA from 1 species
AGCGAACGCUGGCGGCAGGCCUAACACAUGCAAGUCGAACGGUAACAGGAAGCAGCUUGCUGCUUCGCUGACGAGUGGCGGACGGGUGAGUAAUGUCUGGGAAACUGCCCGAUGGAGGGGGAUAACUACUGGAAACGGUAGCUAAUACCGCAUAACGUCGCAAGACCAAAGAGGGGGACCUUCGGGCCUCUUGCCAUCGGAUGUGCCCAGAUGGGAUUAGCUUGUUGGUGAGGUAACGGCUCACCAAGGCGACGAUCCCUAGCUGGUCUGAGAGGAUGACAAGCCACACUGGAACUGAGACACGGUCCAGACUCCUACGGGAGGCAGCAGUGGGGAAUAUUGCACAAUGGGCGCAAGCCUGAUGCAGCCAUGCCGCGUGUAUGAAGAAGGCCUUCGGGUUGUAAAGUACUUUCAGCGGGGAGGAAGGGGAUGUGGUUAAUAACCGCAUUCAUUGACGUUACCCGCAGAAGAAGCACCGGCUAACUCCGUGCCAGCAGCCGCCGUAACAC